CAAUGAUAAAAGUGACAUUAUCAGGGAUGACUGCUUAGUUAAGCGUUUGAAAAGUAAAGUUAGAUUUCUAUUUAUAAAUUUCAAGACAUGAUUGAAUAUGAACAAUCAAAUCGUGGAAAUACUAAGAAAAUGUGGGUGAAUAUAUAACAUUGGAGUGAGAGAACACUUUUAUGGCAGAAUCUUUAAAGAUUGCUGAGUAUAUAAUGUUUUGACAUAAGUAAUUUAAAGGCAAAUAAUUAGAGCACAAAAGAUAGAAAAGGUAAUAAAUGAAGUCUUAAAUUCAUUCCAGUAAAAAAUAAUUUGUAUCCAGUAAAAAAAAAAAAAAAGCACUCCAAUAGGAAAUGGGUAAUAAAGAUGAAAAAAGGUAGUAUCCAGUAGUUAAAACUACCAUAUUCUUAAGAUGAUAUUUAGUGUUGGUGAAACUGUAGGGGAAUGUAAAACAGAAUAUAGCCUUUCCAGCAAGUAUCAGAUUUUCAAAAUGUGCACAGAUCAUUCACUGUCAUCCUCUUAUUCCUAGAAUACAAAUCAGACUAAUGAACAUGGCUUACAAAAUCCUGAAAGGUUGUGCUCUCGCCUCCUGUCAGUUUGAGCUCCUCCUUAAUUCCUGGUUUAGCUAGGCUGCUCUUCCAAUUCCUGCACCUUCCAGCCCCGGACUUUUUAAAUUGCUGUUCUUUUUGCUGCAAACACACACAGUUUCUUCCUUCUUUGCCUCACUAGCACUAAUGACUCAUCAGAUCUCAGCAUAAUUGCCAAUUCUUUGGGAGGCUUUUCCCUGGAAGCACAGUUUAUUACUUUGCCUUUAACACUGUUGCAGUUUACAUUUAUUUCCUUGUUUCUCUCACCAUAUAGAAGGGAUGAAGUUGGGGAGAACCUGGUAUUUAGUUCAGUCCUGGAUGAGUGCCAGCAGAAGUUUGAAAGGAUGUCAUGCAUGUGUGAGAUUUAGCUUUCCAGAUAUUCAUUGCAUUGUUGGUUACUAGGAAAAAAAUCAGAAUUAGCAGAUGUUCAGCAGAGUGAGCUAUGGCCACAUUUGAACACUGUUUGGGUCCAUGAUUAGGGAUGGCUUAUUUCAAGACUGAUGUAAUUAUUGCAUCCAGAAGAAAGGUCUGGAUUUUAACCUGGGAGCUAAAUAGAUAAACUAUCAAAGCUGGCAGAAAUGCCCCAUGGGUCAGAGCCUAAAGCCAGGUACAGGGUGGGGAGAGGAUGCAGAGUUAAUUGUGAGACUGAUCAGUUUCAUUUCUGUUGGAAGUUGGAGAGAAGAUAAUUGGAGCUGUAGAUCUCACUGGGGGUGGGCAGCAUUGUGGGGACACCCCUCUGGAGGAAAUGAGCAAGUCCCUGCCUCCUAGCAGCAGGGUGGGGCCUAAGGAGAAAGGUCCUGGUUAUAAACUCCUGUGAAGGGAUGUCACAGGUUCUAAGAACACUGAAAUGCGUGAGCCACUGUUAUUUUUCCUACAUUGUUAAUUCCCUUCUGUUAGCCUCACAUUCAUUAAGUCUUUGUCAAGAACUACAGCCCAAUGUGAGCUGUGUUUUGGAUGAUUCAGGGAGGGACUGUGUCCAUACUGGGGCCAGAUGGUACCUAGGUGGCUGGGGUAAUCCAAACACUGGUCUCAAGGCCAGAUUGUGACUAGUAACAACCAGGAUAUAUGUUUCUGGAAUAUAAACACUUCUAGGACUUCUUACAUUAUUAUACAUUACCAUAAAGACUAGACCUACAGUGAGAGGGUCAGAUUUAUGUUAGAUAGGUAAAAGAAAAGGGUGAUCUGGAGGGCUGGAGAAUUGGAGACAUUCACAUCAUACUUUGGUGACAUAAUUAGAUGCCACAGCUCACCAGUAUUGUAACUAUUUUCCUUGGCUCUUUCUACCAUCGCUAUUGAAAUUAGGCUUUUCAAAUUAGUGGCAGGAAAGGCCAUAUUUGGAGCUUCAAAUACACAGUCCCAGUGGCAGUUCUUGCCUCUGUGUUUUUUUGUUGUUGUUGUUUGCUUGUUUGUUUUGAGACGGAGUCUCACUCUAUCGCCCAGGCUGGAGUGCAGUGGCACUAUUUCGGCUCACUGCAACCUCUGCCUCAGCCUCCCAAGUAGCUGGGAUUACAAGCGCCUGCCAACACGCCCAGCUAAUUUUUGUAUUUUUAAUAGAGAUGGGGUUUCACCAUUUUGGCCAGGCUGGUCCUGAACUCCUGACCUCCUGAUCCACCUGCCUCGGCCUCCCAAAGUGCUGGGAUUACAGGCGUGAGCCACUGCGUCCGGCCUUGCCUCACCGUUAAAAGACUACAAUAUGACGUGAUACAUCAGCUUUUUCGAAGUCCAGUGUACGUCAGACCCUGAGGCCUGCAGUAUCUGGAAUGGUGUUGCUGGAUGUGCAAAACUGCCAGGCUCUGGCUUGUGGUGUUCUCAUCUACCAGAUCAUUCCUGGGAGGCCCAAUUUGGCCAGCUGGCUCACCUCUGCCGGUGGUAUUGCUAGCAUUGCACAUUGGAACUGCAGCUUGGGAAAGUGAUAGAAACCAAACACAUGGUGGGUACAAAGCAAGUUUGUUGUAUUUUAUCCACAUUAGUAUUUUGGAUGUUUCAAUAUUUAAACAUUUCAAAAAGCAAAAUCAAUGAUAAUACUUCUUGAAUGUGUUGUGAACAAUGCAAGCCUUUUAUUAAAAAUUAUGGAAUAUUCGA
rnacentral:lncRNA from 10 species